AUUUUGGGCAAUGGGCGAAAGCCUGGCCCAGCAACGCCGCGUGAAGGAUGAAAUCCUUCGGGAUGUAAACUUCGCAAGAACGGGAAGAAUAAGUAAGGGUUAAUAUCUCUUACGAUGACGGUACUGUUUGUAAGCUCCGGCUAACUCCGUGCCAGCAGCCGCGGUAAUACGGGGGGAGCAAGCGUUGUUCGGAUUUACUGGGCGUAAAGGGCGCGUAGGCGGCCACCGCAAGUCGACUGUGAAAUCUCCGGGCUUAACCCGGAAAGGUCAGCCGAUACUGCGGGGCUAGAGUGCAGAAGGGGCAACUGGAAUUCUCGGUGUAGCGGUGAAAUGCGUAGAUAUCGAGAGGAACACCUGCGGCGAAGGCGGGUUGCUGGGCUGACACUGACGCUGAGGCGCGAAAGCUAGGGGAGCGAACGGGAUUAGAUACCCCGGUAGUCCUAGCCUUAAACGAUGAAUGCUUGGUGUCUGGGGUUUUAUAGUCCCCGGGUGCCGUCGCUAACGCUUUAAGCAUUCCGCCUGGGGAGUACGGUCGCAAGACUGAAACUCAAAAGAAUUGACGA
rnacentral:rRNA from 1 species